rnacentral:rRNA from 1 species
GACGGAGGAUGCAAGUGUUAUCCGGAAUCACUGGGCGUAAAGCGUCUGUAGGUGGUUCGAAAAGUCCACUGUUAAAAAUUGAAGCUAAACUUCAAAGAUGCCGUGGAAACUUUCAAACUAGAGUGUGGUAGGGGUAGAGGGAAUUUCCAGUGGAGCGGUGAAAUGCGUAGAUAUUGGAAAGACCACCGAUGGCGAAGGCACUCUACUGGGCCAUUACUGACACUGAGAGACGAAAGCUAGGGGAGCAAAUGGG